UACGGAGGGUGCAAGCGUUAUCCGGAUUCACUGGGUUUAAAGGGUGCGUAGGAGGGUAGGUAAGUCAGUGGUGGAAUCUCCAAGCUUAACUUGGAAACUGCCGUUGAUACUAUCUGUCUUGAAUACCGUGGAGGUGAGCGGAAUAUGUCAUGUAGCGGUGAAAUGCUUAGAUAUGACAUAGAACACCAAUUGCGAAGGCAGCUCGCUACACGAAUAUUGACUCUGAGGCACGAAAGCGUGGGGAUCAAACAGG
rnacentral:rRNA from 1 species